rnacentral:rRNA from 1 species
UGGGGAAUAUUGCACAAUGGGCGCAAGCCUGAUGCAGCCAUGCCGCGUGUGUGAAGAAGGCCUUCGGGUUGUAAAGCACUUUCAGCGGGGAGGAAGGCGGUGAGGUUAAUAACCUCAUCGAUUGACGUUACCCGCAGAAGAAGCACCGGCUAACUCCGUGCCAGCAGCCGCGGUAAUACGGAGGGUGCAAGCGUUAAUCGGAAUUACUGGGCGUAAAGCGCACGCAGGCGGUCUGUCAAGUCGGAUGUGAAAUCCCCGGGCUCAACCUGGGAACUGCAUUCGAAACUGGCAGGCUAGAGUCUUGUAGAGGGGGGUAGAAUUCCAGGUGUAGCGGUGAAAUGCGUAGAGAUCUGGAGGAAUACCGGUGGCGAAGGCGGCCCCCUGGACAAAGACUGACGCUCAGGUGCGGAAGCGUGGGGAGCAAACAGG